UUGAUGAUUACGAGAUUCAAGAAUCCAGAAAGCCUUGCUGAUUGCGCUUUUAUCAUUUUAUAUUUUUGCUGCGACAGUUUUGGAUAUUUCGAUUCAUAUUAAAAGCAGUUUCAUCGGCAAUACUCCUUGGCCUCCAGCAACCUUGUUUAUUUUUAGAAGCCUUGAAACUUUGUGAACGAUGUGCUGCGCCGCUGCCGUUUGGAUUUACAUACCUUGACGUGGCGAUCCGUUUCUAUCUGUCGUUUUAUGCAAUUCCUGUGUCUGCAACCGGAAAAUGUCGACCAUAGACAGUGAUGGAACCGCGCAGCUGCUUAAGCGGGUUCGGCAUCAGAUUACAACCCUGCAGAAUGUGUUGAGUGUUUUGAAAUGGAGCGAAAAAUCAGUUACCGUAAGUGGAACGUUGGCAUGCAGUCGUCCAUCGGAUAUCAAUUAGCCAGCUGUUAUCAGACCGGACGAAAACAUUUGAUACAGUAAUUUCGGAUGCAUCGGUUAUCAGACUUCAUCCUCAGAAUUAUGCUAAUACGUGCCUCUUUUGCUUGCAGCGGUUUGGAACGUGCGGAGUACAGAACCUGCUCCAUUGACCCUAACCACAGAAUACCGACAGUGCAUUAUCGACUGCAUCUAAAGAUGUGCGAAGUUCGUCAUCUGGGCUACAGUGACGAAGAAAUCCUUGAAAUCCAGAAUCGAAACAACUCUUCCCAAUUUUUUUACGAUCAUGCUACCAAUGUCGUUACAGUGACGAUAGAUGAGAAGUUGUUGAACAAAAUCCUUGGUCGACACUGCGAAUAUUUUGGUGAGUGCAAGCCGGAGUGUAAUACGUUUCAGUUAGCUAAUGUUUUUGCAUUUAGAAUUUGUUCUGGUGUUCUACAUUUGGCACACUUGUAGUGUUUAUACCGGCAUUCACAUUAUGUUGGUCUGAUUUCAGCUAAUUUCUGCAUGUGGUAAGCAUUGGCAGCGUUGCUUAUCAUAUUGCCUGUAUGAGCUAUUCCGCUGGAAAAUCAUAUCCUUUUUCGUUGCAAAUUCGCACCCAUAUAGAUCUGUAGACUAGCAAUAGUUUCAGCAGGUCUCGUAAUCUUUGCGUGAUGAUGUUUGUACACAUUGUUUGUGCAUGUGCCAGUCAGCCAAUUCAGAAUAUCGUUUAGGAUACUGAGCUUAGGACUGAGCGGAAAUGGAUAGUUAUAAUACAGAGUUUAUUAAUUUUUGUGUUAGUUAAAUAUUUAUAGGUAUUCUAUCAGACAACGGUACUAGGUAUUUCUGACUAUGGGCUCAUAAUUAUUACGAAUUUGCUAGCGUAAAUAUUAUUUGCGGUCAUCUGAGAUGUUGAAGCUUCCUUACGCAGGAGCAGGUAAAUCUUUGCCUUUAACACCAAGCCGCUGGAAUUCUGAUCUGACGGCUGAUGAACGGUCCAAAAUAUAUGACUAUGUUGUGGCAACGGCGGAAGAAGAAAGAACGUUGAGGAAUAUUCGUGCAGGCUGCUGGGCAGCGGACGAAAAAGCUCGAUCAAGGCCUGACAGUGUUCAAAAGCAACCGGGCGAUAGUGGAUGCGGAAGUCUUGUGAAUGAGAUGAUCCCUCAAAGAAAGCGACGCCGGAUAUCUUACAAGGAGAAGAGCAUCCAUACGAACCGGAAAUCAUACACUGAAGUAAGACCUGAACUCUGGCUGCUCUUUGUAGAUUGGUUUGCCACAGGCUUUCAUUAUUGGAUUAAAGGAAUUGCGAGAUGUUAUUGCAAAGCACAUGUCUAUAAUUCAAGAAAAUUGCGAGCAUCAAAAAGGCGAAAUACAUAUACAGAGAUCUGGCUGAGGAUCACCCAUUGGGUGGCUGCUGGGAUGUCUGCGAGCCAGAAGUGGAAGGCUGUGAAGAAUCGCAUGGCUUUCCGGCAUCCAUGGGAUCGUCUGAAAAGCACGCAACACUUCAAGUUCAACCUUCUGACAAUUGUUUAAUUGUUACGCACUGCAUUUCUGCUCAGUAAUUUUAAUUCCUUUAAUUUAUGUGGUAAAAGCGAUUGCUGGGCAAGGUGUCAUGAUACUUUUUUUGACAUACACAGGGUAAAUAUUUUUAUAUCUGAAACACCUUUUUGAAUUUUGGCGAAAUCAAGUAAUUUUAAAUUUUUGUUAUGCUUGGAUGCUUCGAAAAUGAACAUUUUCAUAAUAGAGACACGAAAUCGAAAAUCAAUCUCUCGAGAGAUUACAAGGCUGGAUCUGAGCCGGCCUUGUCAGUGGUUGCUAUUGUUCGACCAAGUAGCAGCACAGUGGGAAUCAAGCUGGUCAGAUUUCUCUGGAUCUGUUGCCGUCUCGGCGGGAUUACAUUUGUUUGCCGAAGAUCAGUAUCCCAGUGAACAAAUUUGACGGGGAUAUUCCACACGAUUUCCGACAAAAGCCAAUAAACUAAUACGGAAACCACACCGUUCAUGAUGAUUUAAAAUUAGUGUUAUUUCUGAUUUGAAAUGCAGUUAAAAGUUGGAGCUUGGCGCACAAUCGUUAUAUCGUUUUCGAUUUGAGCUCAAUUAAUGCGAUAACGAUGGAAUAUUCUCAAGCAUCUUGUUUACGACACAUCGUCAGCCAGUCAGGCACGUUUGAAGGAAACCAACACAGUCUGACUGCGGCAGUUUUUCUUGAUAGACGUACCGUACUUAACGUGCGAAUGUGUAUAUGACAAAGAAUCUGGUAGUGUUUAAUGAUUAAUUUGCGCGACGCUGUACACCUUC